rnacentral:piRNA from 1 species
GAGAAAGUUCUAGUAUGUAAGUAAUCGAG